GAUGAACGCUGGCGGCGUGCUUAAUACAUGCAAGUCGAACGAAGCACCUUGGACAGAAUCCUUCGGGAGGAAGACCAUUGUGACUGAGUGGCGGACGGGUGAGUAACGCGUGGGUAACCUGCCUUGUACAGGGGGAUAACAGUUGGAAACGACUGCUAAUACCGCAUAAGCGCACAGUACCGCAUGGUACGGUGUGAAAAACUCCGGUGGUACAAGAUGGACCCGCGUCUGAUUAGCUAGUUGGUGAGGUAACGGCCCACCAAGGCGACGAUCAGUAGCCGACUUGAGAGAGUGAUCGGCCACAUUGGGACUGAGACACGGCCCAAACUCCUACGGGAGGCAGCAGUAGGGAAUAUUGCACAAUGGGGGAAACCCUGAUGCAGCGACGCCGCGUGAAGGAAGAAGUAUUUCGGUAUGUAAACUUCUAUCAGCAAGGAAGAAAAUGACGGUACUUGACUAAGAAGCCCCGGCUAAAUACGUGCCAGCAGCCGCGGUAAUACGUAUGGGGCAAGCGUUAUCCGGAUUUACUGGGUGUAAAGGGAGCGUAGGCGGCAUGGCAAGUCAGAAGUGAAAGCCUGGGGCUCAACCCCGGAAUUGCUUUUGAAACUGUCAGGCUAGAGUGUCGGAGGGGUAAGCGGAAUUCCUAGUGUAGCGGUGAAAUGCGUAGAUAUUAGGAGGAACACCGGUGGCGAAGGCGGCUUACUGGACGAUUACUGACGCUGAGGCUCGAAAGCGUGGGGAGCAAACAAAAUUAGCUACCCUGGUAGUCCACGCCGUAAACGACCCUAAAAGGGUCGGGGGACAAUAGUCCCUCGGGGCCGAAGCAAACGCAUAAAGUAUUCCACCUGGGGAGUACGUUCGCAAGAAAGAAACUCAAAGGAAUAGACGGGGACCCGCCCAAGCGGUGGAGCAUGUGGUUUAAUUUGAAGCAACGCGAAGAACCUUACCUGCUCUUGACAUCCCACUGACAGGUCAGUAAUGUGACCCUUUCUUCUGAACAGUGGAGACAGGUGGUGCGUGGUUGUCGUCUGCUCGUGUCGUG
rnacentral:rRNA from 1 species